ACAUCGGAACGUGUCCUGUAGUGGGGGAUAGCCCGGCGAAAGCCGGAUUAAUACCGCAUACGAUCUGUGGAUGAAAGCGGGGGAUCCUUCGGGACCUCGCGCUACAGGGGCGGCCGAUGGCAGAUUAGCUAGUUGGUGGGGUAAAGGCCUACCAAGGCGACGAUCUGUAGCUGGUCUGAGAGGACGACCAGCCACACUGGGACUGAGACACGGCCCAGACUCCUACGGGAGGCAGCAGUGGGGAAUUUUGGACAAUGGGCGAAAGCCUGAUCCAGCAAUGCCGCGUGUGUGAAGAAGGCCUUCGGGUUGUAAAGCACUUUUGUCCGGAAAGAAAACCUCGUGGUUAAUACCCGUGGGGGAUGACGGUACCGGAAGAAUAAGCACCGGCUAACCUGCCAGCAGCCGCGGUAAUACGUAGGGUGCAGCGUUAAUCGGAAUUACUGGGCGUAAAGCGUGCGCAGGCGGUCCGCUAAACAGAUGUGAAAUCCCCGGGCUUAACCUGGGAACUGCAUUUGUGACUGGCGGGCUAGAGUAUGGCAGAGGGGGGAGAAUUCCACGUGUAGCAGUGAAAUGCGUAGAGAGUGAGGAAUACCGAUGGCGAAGGCAG
rnacentral:rRNA from 1 species